rnacentral:rRNA from 1 species
GAGUUUGAUCAUGGCUCAGAUUGAACGCUGGCGGCAUGCUUUACACAUGCAAGUCGAACGGCAGCGCGGGCUUCGGCCUGGCGGCGAGUGGCGAACGGGUGAGUAAUACAUCGGAACGUACCUGGUAGUGGGGGAUAGCUCGGCGAAAGCCGGAUUAAUACCGCAUACGACCUCAGGGUGAAAGCGGGGGACCUUCGGGCCUCGCGCUAUCAGAGCGGCCGAUGGCAGAUUAGCUAGUUGGUGAGGUAAAGGCUCACCAAGGCGACGAUCUGUAGCUGGUCUGAGAGGACGACCAGCCACACUGGGACUGAGACACGGCCCAGACUCCUACGGGAGGCAGCAGUGGGGAAUUUUGGACAAUGGGCGCAAGCCUGAUCCAGCAAUGCCGCGUGUGUGAUGAAGGCCUUCGGGUUGUAAAGCACUUUUGUCAGGAACGAAAAGGUCCGUGCUAAUACCAUGGGCCGAUGACGUACCUGAAGAAUAAGCACCGG